rnacentral:rRNA from 1 species
UAGGGAAUCUUCGGCAAUGGACGAAAGUCUGACCGAGCAACGCCGCGUGAGUGAAGAAGGUUUUCGGAUCGUAAAACUCUGUUGUUAGAGAAGAACAAGGACGUUAGUAACUGAACGUCCCCUGACGGUAUCUAACCAGAAAGCCACGGCUAACUACGUGCCAGCAGCCGCGGUAAUACGUAGGUGGCAAGCGUUGUCCGGAUUUAUUGGGCGUAAAGCGAGCGCAGGCGGUUUCUUAAGUCUGAUGUGAAAGCCCCCGGCUCAACCGGGGAGGGUCAUUGGACACUGGGAGUCUUGAGUGCAGAAGAGGAGAGUGGAAUUCCAUGUGUAGCGGUGAAAUGCGUAGAUAUAUGGAGGAACACCAGUGGCGAAGGCGGCUCUCUGGUCUGUAACUGACGCUGAUGCUCGAAAGCGUGGGGAGCAAACAGG